AAAGCUCCAAUUAAAAGGUACAAUUAAGUGUAUAAAUAUACACUUAACACACCCCCAAACUUGAACUUUUGCUUGUCCUCAAGUAAAAUCAAAUUAAGAACACAAACCAUGACAAUACAUCUCAUUACAUAGGUCGAUUGGUCAACUUCGUGUUUUCAGAACUUGCAAUUAUGAUGAUAAUUCCUAGGUAUUCGCAAGCUUAACAUUCAACG
rnacentral:lncRNA from 1 species